UUUCUGCCCAGUGCUCUGA
rnacentral:snRNA from 1 species